UUCAGUGGAAGGACUAUUAGCAUUUGCAUCAUCUCUUUUGAAAUAUUCCUCAUCCCCAUGGUCAUUAUAUUUUGCUUCUGAUUGAGAUAUCGCUUGUAAAGCAAGCUCAUAGAGUGGUGAAUGUAGCCUAGCUGUUUCACUUGUUUCUUUACUUGGACUUGAUUCGAUUUCUUUUUUUUCUGAAGCCAUAUUAUCUAAAAAUAACAGGAAAAUAAAAAAGAUUAUAAUUGAUUAAUGCAUCAUUAAAAAAAUGAUAACGGUAAAUCUAACAUAUACAAUAGUAAAAUAACAGUUCCAACAGAUUACACAUCUGUUGCACCAGGUAGUUUAUCUGUUGAAAUAUAUAACGAACUUAUUGCAGCGAAUGAGUAAUCUAUUAGAAAUAGUAAAAAUAGAUCACACAUCUGUUAAAACAGAUGACUGGUCUGUGCAACAUAUCAUUCAUCUGUUACAACAUAUGAGUGAUCUGUUAGAACUGUUAUCAACUGUCAAUAUUGUUUAAAUUUCUUCCUACAGAAGGGUCAUCUGUCGCAAUAGAUAAAUGAUCUGUUAGAUUGUUUAUCUAUAGCAUCAGAUGGUUUAUUUGUUGCAUCAGAUAGUUAAUUUAUUGCAUCAGAUGGUUUAUCUGUUGCAGAAAAAAACUGUAGCAAGAUUUUGUUCAAUAGAACAACAACAAUAUCACCAUUUAAUAUCAAAUACACUUUUUUUUACCAAGAACAAUAGCAAAUCAACCUAACAACACCAACACAACACAACACAUACACCAAGAACAUCAACUGUGACAAAAAAUACCAACAUUGUUGUUUUAUUUGUACAAACACAAACAACAAAAAUCAAACUUCAAAAAACUCAACAGACAUCAACAAAUUGAAUCAACAGUUAGAUAACAAGAAAUACAAUAAAAAUAAAAAAUUAUAUUUUACUCCGAAAAGAGAAAAAAAGAAAUAGCGGAAAUUAGAAUUUUCUUCAGUCCCUAUUUCAAACUUCAAAUUUAAGGAACAAAUAUUGAAAUUAUUGACCAAUACUAGAAGAGACGUUGACUCAAAUUCUGAUUUUUCUUCAAAACUAAAAAGCCAUAAUUUUGUUACUUGUGAAAGAAGAAAAGGACGAUGAAGAACUUGAAGUUGUUGUCACCGGAGAGUAAUGUUGUCACAUCGAUUGACGGUUGAAAAUCAAAAAGGAACUCGAAAUCCAACUAUUUAUCGCAAGAAGUUGAAGUCGCCGGGGAUUGAAGAGAGAAAUUUGCAGAAUUGUUGGUUGAGAGAAGUUGAGAGAAAUUGUUAAGAAAGAGAGGAGAGAGGAGAGAGUCGGUUGAUUUGAAGAGGAGAGGGGUGUGGGUUGAUUUAUAUUUUUAAAAAGAUUAGAAAGUUUUAAAAAUAUUAAUCAAGUCCACAAUUAACUUAAUUAAGUUUUCUAAUUAUGUUUGACCCUUUAAGUUGGUCAAUGUCACCAAUUCCACAAAGAAGACUUAAAAGACACAUUUCCUUCAAUUUUCUCCAGAGAGUUACUAUAUUUAUUUUUAACAUGAAAAGAUUACUUCCACCACUUUAAAUUAUUUAUUUAUUUUAAUUUAUUUACAAAAUUUAUUUUUUUCUUUGUAGCAAUUCUUUAAUUUUAAUUUUUUGUAUAAUAUAUUUAAGCCCACAAAAUUAAAGAGUAUUUUCACAUAUUUGACAUACUCGCUCUAUUUCAUUUUAGUUGGCAUAUUUUUUCUUGUAAUAUCUAAACUUUGAUUAAUAUUUUAAGAUGUAUUUUUUUAAUCAUAUUUUAAAAAAUACAUAUUAUAGUACUUUUCAUAUAGUUUUUGAAUAUCUGAAUUUUAAUUUUAAAAUAUUUAAUUAAUCUAAUCUAAUUUAGCUUUGAAAGUUAGUCAAAUUAACUCGCGAAAAUCAAAACGUGCCAACUAAAAAGGAAAGGCGGGAGUAUAUCUAAUUUAUGACCAUAAGAUUAAGUGUCUUCUUUACAUUUUUAAAUUUCAUAUCAAAUCAAAAUAAGACAAUAAAUUAAAACAAGAAGAGUACACCUUAUAAUACUUAUUGAUAGGGAUAUUAUUGUAAAUAUAAUUUAAAGAGCCAUGUCAUCUUGUAGUUGUAACUUCCUUAUAAAUAGAACAUGUUCUGGCCCUUGCUAUUCACGCAUGCCAUUUUGUUAUUCUUGGCUUUAUUUCUUUCUCUAUAACUGAACUUCAACUUGCAUCAAGAGAACCAUCAUUUCUCAAACUGCUUCCGCUCAGACUUCUUCUUCAACUCUAGCCAUUCCCUCUCAAUCCUCUUUGGGUCUUCCAAAUUCGCCUCCGACUAUUUCAAUUUUAAAGGUUUUAAACCAAUUGAAUUGACAUAUCUUAAUUAUCUUACAUGAAAGAAGGUUUUUUCUUACUAUUCUAAGAAGCCACAACCUUCUUCCCUUGGUUGAUGCCUCUAUUCCAUGUCCCUCAUAAACCCAUGAAGAGUAUCCUUUGUGGAUUCAAUGUGACACCAUAACUCUAAGUUGGAUUAACGCCACUAUCUUUUCUCCAGUUCUCGACUCACUUCCCAACUACGCCUGUGACACUUCCAAGCAAGCAUGGGAUAUUUUUGUGUCCCUUUACCUAGAUCAGGUUUUUUCUUCGUUAAUUCAUCUAAAAUCAAAAUUUUAGAAUUUUAAGGAACGCUCUCUUUCCAUGGAGGAUUAUCUCAAAACUUCAUUCUCUUGCUUGUUCACUUAGAACAGUUGGAAAACCUGUCAUUGAUAAUGAUGUAGUGAACCAAGAAUUUCAAGAACCCCCACCUUUGUAUCGUAUUUUUGUCUCCAAUUUGAAUGCGUCCGGAAUACUUUCAUCUUUUCUCGCAUUGCGUCCAUUGUUACUUACUAAAGAAGCAUAUAUUAAUGCAACAAAUGAUGAUGAUUCUACUUCUCACACUGCUUUACUUACUUCAGCCGAAGCACCACCAGUUUCUCAACCUUCUUUUUCAAAUUUAUAUCAUUCUAAUCAAUCUCAAAGAGGAUCUCAUAAUGGACGUAAUUUUGGUAAACCAAAUCAAGGCAGAGGUCAAAAUUAAUACUCUUCUCACCCUAGUUUUUCUACCCAAUGGGAUGAUUUUCCACCAAAUUUUUGACCUUUCUCUUGAGGUGAUGGUAUUCUGGGGCGAUCCCCUUUUACAUCGGCUAAAGACAAAUCUGCUUCCACUUUAAUAAGACUACUUUAGAGUUUAGAAAUCAUUUUAAUCAUUUCUACGUUCCCAAUUUGCUCCUAAAAUCAUUUGUUGUUAUGAACUUGGAGAAAGUACAAUCACUGAUAUGGUAUCCUGAUUCUAUUGCUUAUGCACAUAUGACAAAUAAUCCAUCCCUUUUAUCCUCUUCUUCUCCUUACACUGGCUCGUCAAAGAUGAUGGUUGAAAAUGGUAACCUUCUUCCUAUUAUAUCUACGAACAUUUUCUUUCUUUCGACAUCUUCUAAACCUCUUCAAUUAAAAAAUAUUUUAUAUGUUCCUUCUCUUCAGAAGAAUAUAAUGUCAGUUCAAUUUUUGUGUAUCGACAAUAAUUAUUUCAUUAAAUUCACUGACACUAAUUUUUUUGUUAAGGAUAAGACAGCCAAUCAAGUCUUAAUUCACUGUGAGAAUAAUGUCUCUAUUUAUCCUGUUUGCGCAACCUCCCGUCGAUCAUGUCCUAUUGUUGUAUCAAGCAUUGUCGUACCUUCCUCUCCUUAGAACCAACGUUUAGCCCAUUCGGGAAAAUAUUCUCCUGCAACUUUAGUUUGUAGGGGUUUCAUUUCUUGUAACUCAGUUUUUGAAAAUUUUGGUUGGAAUGUUUGUCAUCUAAGUAAACAAUCUAAGUUACAAUUUCCUUCUUCUGAUAAUACCGCAACUGUUCUUUUUUUUUUAAAUUCAUUCAAAUGUGUGGCAGGCUCCAUUUAGUUUGAAUUUUGAUUUUCGUUAUUAUAUUCUUGAUGACUGCACCAAAUACUCUUGACUUUAUUUAAUGCGCAACAAGUCAGAGGCAUUUGACAAAUUCAAAGAGUUUUAUAAUAUGAUCUUGAACAUUUUUUAAUUCUUCUAUUACUUAUUUUCAAUCAAAUGGUGACAAAGAGUAACAAUUCUCAUUUUCAUUCUUUUUUUGUGAGCAUGGAAUUAUUCGUCGUUUCUCAUGUCCAUAUACCUCUUCUUAAAAUAGUCAUGCAAAAAGAAAACAUCACCAUGUUAAUAAUAUGAUACGAUAUCUUCCGUUUUAGGCCGACGCUUCUCUGUUUGGGAUUCAUUUAAUUAAUAUCACUUCUCUUCCUAUUCUAAAUUUUACCUCACCUUAUAAAAAAUUAUAUGGAAAAUUACCAGAUUAAAAUUUGAUUAAGGUUUAGGUGUUUAUGUUACCUUUAUGUUGCUCAUUCUUUUGCUCAUAAGUUUCUUCCACGAUCUAAACCUUGUUUAUUUCUUG
rnacentral:lncRNA from 1 species